rnacentral:rRNA from 1 species
AGCCUGAUCAGCCAUACCGCGUGGGUGAAGAAGGCCUUCGGGUUGUAAAGCCCUUUUGUUGGGAAAGAAAUCCAGCCGGCUAAUACCUGGUUGGGAUGACGGUACCCAAAGAAUAAGCACCGGCUAACUUCGUGCCAGCAGCCGCGGUAAUACGAAGGGUGCAAGCGUUACUCGGAAUUACUGGGCGUAAAGCGUGCGUAGGUGGUUGUUUAAGUCUGUUGUGAAAGCCCUGGGCUCAACCUGGGAACUGCAGUGGAAACUGGACAACUAGAGUGUGGUAGAGGGUAGCGGAAUUCCCGGUGUAGCAGUGAAAUGCGUAGAGAUCGGGAGGAACAUCCAUGGCGAAGGCAGCUACCUGGACCAACACUGACACUGAGGCACGAAAGCGUGGGGAGCAAACAGGAUUAGAUACCCUGGUAGUCCACGCCCUAAACGAUGCGAACUGGAUGUUGGGUGCAAUUUGGCACGCAGUAUCGAAGCUAACGCGUUAAGUUCGCCGCCUGGGGAGUACGGUCGCAAGACUGAAACUCAAAGGAAUUGACGGGGGCCCGCACAAGCGGUGGAGUAUGUGGUUUAAUUCGAUGCAACGCGAAGAACCUUACCUGGCCUUGACAUGUCGAGAACUUUCCAGAG